AUUGACCUACGGGGGGCAGCAGUGGGGGAUAUUGGACAAUGGGGGAAACCCUGAUCCAGCGAUGCCGCGUGAGGGAAGAAGGUUUUCGGAUUGUAAACCUCUGUGGAGGGGGACGAUAAUGACGGUACCCCUUUAGGAAGCCACGGCUAACUACGUGCCAGCAGCCGCGGUAAUACGUAGGGGGCAAGCGUUAUCCGGAUUUACUGGGUGUAAAGGGAGCGUAGACGGCAAUACAAGUCGGAAGUGAAAUACCCGGGCUCAACCUGGGAACUGCUUUGGAAACUGUAUGGCUGGAGUGCUGGAGA
rnacentral:rRNA from 1 species